rnacentral:rRNA from 1 species
CCUACGGGAGUCAGCAGUGAGGACUAUUGGUCAAUGGACGAGAGUCUGAACCAGCCAAGUAGCGUGAAGGAUGAAUGCCCUAUGGGUUGUAAACUUCUUUUAUAUGGGAAUAAAACGUUCCACGUGUGGGAUUUUGUAUGUCCCAUAUGAAUAAGGAUCGGCUAACUCCGUGCCAGCAGCCGCGGUAAUACGGAGGAUCCGAGCGUUAUCCGGAGUUAUUGGGUUUAAAGGGAGCGUAGGUGGAUUGUUAAGUCAGUUGUGAAAGUUUGCGGCUCAACCGUAAAAUUGCAGUUGAAACUGGCAGUCUUGAGUACAGUAGAGGUAGGCGGAAUUCGUGGUGGAGCGGUGAAAUGCUUAGAUAUCACGAAGAACUCCGAUUGCGAAGGCAGUUCACUGGACUGCAACUGACACUGAGGCUCGAAAGUGUGGGUAUCAAACAGGAUUAGAUACCCCUGUAGUC